CAGCAGCCGCGGUAAGACAGAGAAUGCAAGCGUUAUCCGGAAUGAUUGGGCGUAAAGCGUCUGUAGGUGGCUUUUCAAGUCCGCCGUCAAAUCCCAGGGCUCAACCCUGGACAGGCGGUGGAAACUACCAAGCUGGGGUACGGUAGGGGCAGAGGGAAUUUCCGGUGGAGCGGUGAAAUGCGUUGAGAUCGGAAAGAACACCAACGGCGAAAGCACCCUGCUGGGCCGACACUGACACUGAGAGACGAAAGCUAGGGGAGCAAAUGGGAUUAGAUACCCGCGUAGUCCCUGUCUCUUAUAC
rnacentral:rRNA from 1 species